rnacentral:misc_RNA from 1 species
AACUUUCGGCAAUGGAUCUCUUGGUUAUCGCAUCGAUGAAGAACGCAGCGAAACGCGAUAGGUAAUGUGAAUUGCAGAAUUCCGUGAAUCAUCGAAUCUUUGAACGCACAUUGCGCCUUCUGGUAUUCCGGUAGGCAUAUCCGUUUGAGCGUCAGCAAAAACCUCUCAGCAUUUAUUUUAUGUUGGUACUGGGCGCUGAGGCUGAGCUUUCCGGCUCGCCUCCGCUUUAAACCUGCUGCACGACCGCAAGCUAUUGCUAGGUUUUAUGAAGUUGGUGUUUACAUUUAUUCAUCAUCUAGUGUUGGGGAGCGGCGUUAAACCUGAUGUCCCGUCUGCGGACUGAAGUUUGACCUCAAAUCAGAUAAGGAUACCCGCUGAACUUAAGCAUAUCAAUAAGCGGAGGCU